ACGGCUAACGUUUCGUGACACACAAAACACAGUAUUUUGUCUUUGGAAACAGUACAUAAGUAUUUAUUCGUCCAUUCAGUAUUGAAAACUCUGUGCUCUUAUUCUAUUUUUCUCUUUUUCUUUUCACUCAUGGUAGCCAUUAUGAAGCUCAAGAUUUUGUUGAAUAAAUUCACAAACAAAGGAAACACUCACAGUCACACACAAAGAGAAGAGAUAUCUCAUGGCGCGUGGCACACUAGCAAGGCACUGACAGUGUGUGGAAGCCUGUAGAGGGUGUGAAAGUUACUAGUGACCCCCCCUAAAACAGCUAGCAGCCUUUAUGUCAACCAGUGGCCAUUAGGGGGAAGCAGAUACCUCACUACACAGUAGCCUGAACUUUUGAACUGUCUUCUCUCCUCUGCCUCGAGGCAGAGGGAACUAGCCUCAAGUCAGUUUUCACUGACCAGAUAGCAACAGCACGGGUCUGGCAACCACCAAUCAAGUGUUAACACGGCAAGGGCCUUUGUCUGAAUGUGUAUAAAGGAUCUGUAAAAUGUGUGUAAGACAGAGUUUUUGUACUAAGGUGCAAAGCUCUCCUUUCUUCUGCAGAAUAAAGCAACCUUUUCCUUAUCCCUGUCUGGCUGUUAUUGGCUCUCAACUAGGCAGACUCGAUAUUUCAGUGACAGUUUCUGGCGACCCAGAUGGGACUCUCCUAGCUCGGACAUUGGACUCCGGACGGCUGCGGCGAACUGGGAACGGCGCCAACAGGGUGUUUCGCCCCUUUUCUCUGAUUCACCACGGCCCCUGGGGUUCGUGUUCCAAUAAGAUAAAAGAAGUGCUACCCAAAGACCCUAGCAGCCCUGCCAUUCAUUGAAACAAGGAGACUGAGUCUAUGUAAAGAUCCACCAACGAAAGACUGCUUUGGCUCCAUGCUGGAAAGGCCCUUUCCAAGUCCUGUUAACCACCAACACCGCUGUGAAGUGCCAAGGACUGCCUACCUGGACCCAUGCUUCUCAUUGUAAAAAGACCCCUCCACCUCGGGAGGACUCUCCGACUGAUAAGCCUAUUUCUCCUUCUAGCUCUGCUGUGCCUUCUGGACAGCAGGAAAAAGGAAAAAAGACAGGCUGAAGUGCUAGUAACCUCUCCCCUGUAUGAUGCUGAACCAUGACUGUUUCAGGAAAAGAGAAGAAGGAGCACUUGCGCCAUUGAAACCACCAAAGUCCAGGGAUUCCUGCCUACAAGAGACAUUAAGAAGAAACAAAGAAUUAUACACUGGCAGGAAGAAACUUGUGGGACCCAUGCUUGGGAAUGUGGUAUAGUACUACACCAAAGAGAAAUGUAUUAGGAUAUCAGUGGACUGUGAUUAACACUACACUAGGGACUGUUAAAUUUUCAUUAUCCUUAUCCAGUUUCCAGAUCACCUUUACAUACCCAAAUUGCUCACAGGGGGCUGCCAUUAGAUUAGCACAACAGAGGGCUUGGGUUAUUUCCUCUAGAAAGAAAAGUGACUUGACCGGAUCCCUAUAGGAUGGGGCCAAUAGUGCAGCAGCAGUUUGGAAUAUUUUUAAGAACCAAGAACAUGAUGAAAAAUUGGGGCAAUUAGAAAAGGCCACUAGCCUUAUUUCUGGGGCACAGCUAACCCAGGUACAGGCUGGAAUUGGUGAGUUACAUGUUAUCUCUAACUUAGUUCUAUGACCCAGAAGUUGCUGACAGAAAUGGUAUUGAAUAUCACAAAGGCUGGGAAGGGAUUGCAGUGGGAACUAGCAUGUUCAGGCUUGGCCCACUGCCCUUACAGACACAUCAGGAGUACUAUCUGAUCUGUGGCCAUAGAGACAUACUUGGAGACUUUCUGGGUGGAAGUGCGAACGUUCUCAAUGCUCCUUCCAAGCAUAUGGACCGAUUAGGGGUGUGUGGGCUCCCACAUACCGAAUCCUGCCAGGUCCAUGGAGAGGAUGCAUGUGGAAUUGGAUAAUUCACAGAGACAUCUGGAAAAUUAAACUACCGCCGAUGCCCUGGUGGACUUGGCAACCGCACAGAGAAAACUAAGGCAAAUGGUUCUCCAGAACCACUUGGCUCUAGAUAUCUUUCCCUUCAGCUUGAUCGCAAAUUGCGCAACGGGCCUGACAAUUUGGGUUUGUCAGGCCCGAAAGGGGGACUGUGAAAGUUACUAGUGACCCCCCUUAUCAGCUAGCAGCCUUUAUGUCAACCAGUGGCCAUUAGGGGGAAGCAGAUACCUCACUACACAGUAGCCUGAACUUUUGAACUGUCUUCUCUCCUCUGCCUUGAGGAAGAGGGAACUAGUCCCAAGCCAGUUUUCACUGACCAGAUAGCAAAAGCAUGGAUCUAGCAACCACCAAUCAAGUGUUAACACGGCAAGAGCCUUUGUCUGAAAGUGUAUAAAGGAUCUGUAAAAUGUGUGUAAGACAGAGUUUUUGUACUAAGGUGCAAAGCUCUCCUUUCUUCUGCAGAAUAAAGCAACCUUUUCCUUA